AUUGAACGCUGGCGGCAGGCCUAACACAUGCAAGUCGAACGGUAACAGGGAUCAGCUUGCUGAUUCGCUGACGAGUGGCGGACGGGUGAGUAAUGUCUGGGAAACUGCCUGAUGGAGGGGGAUAACUACUGGAAACGGUAGCUAAUACCGCAUAACGUCGCAAGACCAAAGAGGGGGACCUUCGGGCCUCUUGCCAUCGGAUGUGCCCAGAUGGGAUUAGCUAGUAGGUGGGGUAACGGCUCACCUAGGCGACGAUCCCUAGCUGGUCUGAGAGGAUGACCGGCAACACUGGAACUGAGACACGGUCCAGACUCCUACGGGAGGCAGCAGUGGGGAAUAUUGCACAAUGGGCGCAAGCCUGAUGCAGCCAUGCCGCGUGUAUGAAGAAGGCCUUCGGGUUGUAAAGUACUUUCAGCGGGGAGGAAGGGAGUAAAGUUAAUACCUUUGCUCAUUGACGUUACCCGCAGAAGAAGCACCGGCUAACUCCGUG
rnacentral:rRNA from 1 species